AUUGAACGCUGGCGGCAGGCUUAACACAUGCAAGUCGAGCGAGCGGCGGACGGGUGAGUAAUGUAUGGGGACUGCCCGUUAGAGGGGGAUAACUACUGGAAACGGUAGCUAAAACCGCAUUCUACCGGAUAACCCAUAUGUGAUUAGCUAGUAGGUGAGGUAAUGGCUCACCUAGGCGACGAACCCUAGCUGGUCUGAGAGGAUGAUCAGCGACACGGGGACUGAGACACGGCCAGGACUCCUACGGAGGGAGCAGUGGGGAAUAUUGCGCAAUGGGCGGAAACCUGAUGCAGCCAUGCCGAGUGUAUGAAGAAGGCCCUAGGGUUGUAAAGUACUUUCAGUCGGGAGGCGUUACCGACAGAAGAAGCACCGGCUAACUCCGUGCCAGCAGCCGCGGUAAUAC
rnacentral:rRNA from 1 species